AGAAAAAACCCUCAAGUGUGAAGGUGGCAGCCAAGCAAAUCUGUUCAGAGUGGUUGACAAUGCCAGGAACCCCAAACUGAAGGUGAGGUGACCAAGACCCAGAGAGAGGAAGUUCACACAGCUAGGAAGAGGCAGAGCCAGGAUUCAUGCAGGCACUCUGGCUAUAGAACCCGCCCUGUUUACCUGGCUGUGUUAAGAGUGGAUGUACGUGGUAUUCAACAUUCAUGCCUGGUGUUUUGGGUACAAAUCAAAGCAAAGAGGUGGUGUUCUUUCUCUGACACAGACCUGGAAAGACAGAGUUGUGAAUUCCAUCUUCACAGGGGUUUCUCAUGGAUUUUGGCCUUCUGAGUUCUGUUAACUUCUUCCUGGGCAUCGGCAUGGCUCAGCUCAAGGGGAGGACUUGAUCAUCUGAAGGCAUCCGGUGAAAGGAAACAUUGCAACCGCAAAUCAUGUCUUUACAAGAAACAAUGAAAAACCUAUUCAAAUUGGCUUACUUGCUACAUCAGCUUCUCCAUGCUGUGAAACUUCAAAAUGUAAUUACUGGGCCACACAAACACAAUGAAUUAAAAAAAAAAAAGGCUGUACAACCAAGACAAGUACAUUCCCCAGUGUUUCUUUGGUUCUAUGUAAUCCGCAUUGUCUCUACACUGUAAACAAUUCUUCGAGUUUUCUAAAGCUUUAGUAAUAUUAUAGCAAAUUAAAUAUCUCCAGAGAAUGAUUAUUUUCUCUUAAUGAGUAAUAAUAAUUGUUCUGUGCUGACCUUCCAUGGCCACAUUUCUCCAAAGAAUUGAUGACCCCUGUACUUCCAUUAUACUUUUUAAAUUUAUAUUGGUGAUUUUAUUUUUAUCCUAGGAUACUUUAAAUUGAGAUUAUUACCUAUGCCAUAUCAAUGCCAUUCAAGUGAACCUGUGAGACUAGGAAAAAUAACACUCUUUGUUAGCUGGGCCAUAGCUGUGUUGUCUUGGUCAGGUUAAUUAAUGUCUUGUGUUUCCAUUUCUUUAUCUGUAUAAUGGGAAGAAUACACUUAAUGCAUGGAGUUUUUAGAAGGAUUAAGAGAUUAUGAAUGUGAAAGUAGCUUUUAAAGCAUGAUGCAAAAUACAGUUAUUAGUUCUAAUUAUUCGUCAUAAGAUAAUAAUUACUAUCAUUUGAGAAACAUGUUCCUUUCAUUCAUUUGCUGAAUACUUGGAGUUUUAGGCAUUUCUGCCUAGACUCAACGGAAUCUUCGUAUCAAAAUACACAGCGGUAAAAGUCCUUAUUUCUAUCUUAAGCUCCUACAGUUAGAUUCUUUUUCAUUUCUCAGAGGUAUAUCCCAUGAGUGAAGGGUCUCAGGGAAACUUUGACACUACCCUAUGCAUCCCACAACCCAUCCUUGUUAGAUCAGUCCUUUAGUUUAUACAGAUCUAUGAGAAUAUUUUUCUUCAUAAGCACCAGCAAUUCAUGCCAACAACUUGUUUACUUUUAUGAGAUUUAUCUAAUCUAGUUGAUUGAUUUGUCAUCAAAACUCCAAUUUGGGCUUUAGACCUUAGGUCCACGGAGAGUGUGGCAAACUAUUAUUUUAUCACAUCCCUGGGUUCUGCAUUCACAAUGUGUGUGAUUCAAGUGUUCCCUCAUAUAGCAUAUUUGCUCUUUUCUGUGGUCACUGUAUAAAGAAAGCACACCAAAGACUUAAGAGAGUCAGUCGUCUGCCUACAUGGUUAAAUUUACUUCACUCCAUGAAUUUGUUUGCAGGACAAAUGGCCUUUCAAAGAUGUCUAUACAAGUACCAGUUGCUUUAUUGUGUUCAAUUGACCUCACCUAAGUUCAAACAAGAAGCUUGUUCCAUGAAUUCUGUUGCUAUGAUUUAGGUUUGUGAACCUCUAGAACUCAUAACAAUGCUUUUAAAAAAUGAUACAGGUUCUAUCUGACAUAGUUUAAGUCACUCCAAACCUGAACACAGCAAGACUCACAGAAUCCUAGACACACUGCCUGGCCUAAUAGUCACAUGAAUCUCUAAAGAAUGUCAUAAUUAACUGGAAAAUGAGGUAAUGCAUGGCACCUUCACACCCCUUCAUAGUUUUCCUCUUUCUUCAAUAUUGUAACUUUGUGUAACAGCUUCUCUCUUUGAUCUACCUGUACGAAGUGUUUACAGAGAAAUUCCAUGUAUUCCAGUUUGAACUUAACAAAUCUUUAUAUUACAAGUUUGAAGUUGGUAGAAUAUGAAUGUUUUAAAUCCAUGCCUUACAGCAAAAUGUCUCAAAGAGAUAAUUUCCUAGGAAAGACAUAGCUCACAUUGAAACUUACAAUUCAUUUUCGUAGGAUGAGAGCCAAGGAUUAUUUCAACCUUAGAUCACCUUAUCCUGAAUCCCUAAAUAUUCUAUGUGAGUCUCCAGGCACUUGUUACAUAUUCUUGCCUCUAUAUGUUCUUUAACAUCAUUUCAAAUACGAGUUGGUGGCCCAGUUACCUUUGUGAAGCCAAAUCGUUGUAAACUUAAAGUGCCUUCCAUUCUUCUUAGACGAAGGAGCCUAGUAUUCUUUGCUAGGUGCUAUGCUAGGUGCAUUACCUACAUUAUCUAACUUAAUCUGUAGAGAAAUAGUAUGAGGAAUGCAUUAUUGUCCCUUUUGUACAGAUGAAAAACACAAAGAAAAGGGAAUUGUAGCAAGUUGUCUCAAGGAGAGUAGUAAACAAAGUAGUAUAUGACAGAACUUCAAUUUGAAUGUACGUGUCAGGCUCUGAAGUUUAUGAUCUUUCUCCAUACCAGGGAGUGGUGAGAAUGAAAUUAUCAAAGAAAUUAUCAAACUAUAGUAAAUUACUUCAGUGUGUAUCAGUCUAGUGUGUGCGUGCGUGUGUGUGUGUAUGUGUGUGUAUUUAUAGAGGUUCUAGAUUUGAGGUAUCUCAUAUGUCUAGUGUCCACUGCUACAGAAUCCACGCAUGGACAUGGUCUAGCCUUUGCCGGUACACUUAGCCAGCGUGGACAUGAUCCUCUCCCAUGACGUUGGAAACAGAGAUCUCACCUUGGGGUGUUUCCCUCCGCUGACAUCUAGUGCAAGACUAUCACUGCUUAUAAAUGCAAAGUGAAUUUAGAAAACCCUAAGUUACCAUGAAAUUCAGUGCUGCCCUGCUGGUGUGACUUUUAAUCCCAAUGUGACCUAAAGUACAUAAAGUUAAUAUAAUUAGCACGAGAUGAAACCAGUGGUCUGUAGUUAUAGACAGCUUUAGAAAGUGGCACCCAGGGCCCAGUACUGGCAGUGGUCCACAUUUCCUUUCUCUUGGAAGGAAUAGGAAUCUUCAGUGCUGAACAAUGGCAGAAUUGGGUCACUUUUCAUGCUGACUCAGAUUGUACACAGAAGAGGAUUUUGGUCCCCAGGCAAACAGAGACUUGAGAAAUGGAGGUUUUUUUUUUUUUUUGUUUUUUUGUUUUUUGUUUUUGUUUUUGUUUUUUUAUGCCUCUACCUUAGUAAGAUGGUAUAUGGAUAAAAUAAACUGGACAAUAUGUGGCUCUAUAAAAUUAUUUAAAUACCUACCUUUGCUUGAAUGAGAGGAACUGAUUACAUAAAGUAUAGUAACUUCUUAUGCAAGGUAAAUUGUAAAUGUAUAUAGAUAGGUAGAUAUAUUGAUCCAUAGAUCCAUUGAUCAAUGGAUUGAUCGAUGCAUCCAUCUGUCCAUCCAUGUGUAGCAUAAGAAAAAUUAAAGUAGAUAAUGAGGCUUAAGUUAUUUUUCUCCUAUGGUCAAAUGUAACAACUAUAACAGCAAAUUGGAAUCAGUAAUACUAAUAUCUGGGUAAGGACUUCAAGACUUGCAGUGACUCCAAUAAGGAAUUAUCCUGGCCUUAGCUUUUUUUUUUUUUUUUUUUUUUUGUGCUCAUGUAUCUUCAUCAGAGAACAAUGGUAUCCAUGUCUUCACAACUGUCAAAGAGUUAGGAAUCAGAAGUUAUACUUUAGCUCUUACUAUUUUCCCCAUGUGUAAAAUUAAAGAGUGAAUUGGAUGAUCUCUAAGAUCCUUGUAAACAUCACGAGAUGAUAAGUGAAAAGAAUUGAUUUUUAAAUUUGACCUAUGUUUGAAUCCUGGCUUCAUGUUUUUCUAGUUAUGUAAUUCCUCUGUGCCUUAGGUUUUUUUCUGUACAAUGAGAGUAUAAUAUUAUUUCAUAUGGUUGAUGGGAAUAUUAAAUUAGAAUAACAAAAAGAGCUUAGCACAUUGUAGAUAAGCAAGGGAUUUUUUUGUUCUCUUUCUAUGACUAUAGGGACUAAUUGAGAUACUAAAAGUUAGCUAUUAUUCUUGCUCUUGAUUUUAAUGGUUCAGAUGAAACUUAAAAACGUAUAAUAUUACAUGGGCUAAAAGACAAUUGCAUUCCAAUAAGCUAUGAUUAUGGGAGAAAUAUCUCACACAGCUGCUGUGGAAAUUAAGUAAAUGAGAUAUUUUAAACUAAUUUGUUGAUUCCUCCAUUCAAAAUAUGUUUACUGAGAGGAUCUAGGUGCUGAUGCUGUGCUGGGUGUACACUGAUGUGCAAACCCAGAUGAGUCUUCUGCCCUCAGGAGAAUGGGAAGAUCAUUAUUAUUCAAAGAAACACACUGAAGUAGCACAGUCUGGCCCCUUCCCUUGGGAGAAUUAAUCCACAUUGAUUCCAAGAGACACUACAUAUGGCCAGCUUCCUGUUACUGGGUGGUGAAUCAGGGGUAGUGCAUGUGAAGUGAAGUGUUUUUGAUAUAGGAAACCAGAGUUCACCCGGGAUUCUGCUCACCCCAGUUUAUCAUGAAGAUACCUGAGAGCUGAAAAAAGAAAGUAGACAAGAAUUGAGGCCACUUUAAAGACUCUGCCUCAUUGUGGGCUGCCAUGGUCUCUUUGCUUGUAUCUCUUGGUUCUCUCUGUAGGAUUUUUGCCUCAUAAUAUUUGAUUUCCAUGACCUAUCAUGGCCCUGACAAGAUAGCAUGGCUUGGUUCCUGUUUCUCCUCACUAGCCACCUCUUAUCUUAGUAAUACCUAAUGAAAAUUUCCAAGAGAGCCAACUUGAAUUCUAUCUCCUUUUUGCUCCAAGUCACACCAAAGUCCCUGACCAGUGUGUGGAUGCUGCUACUGAGUCAGGUGCACAUUCUUCAUCCUAUCAGUUGUGGCCGGGGCUGCUGGACUGACUCUCAGCAGGGGUGGUGAGUAGGGGAGGUCCUGGGGGGUCUACUGUGGUUCAUCAAGACUCAGCCUAAAACUUGGAUGAAAUAUUUGUCCAGACCAUCUGAUUUGUAUACUACCCAAUCAACUUUCAAUAAACUUACAUGUCUUUUCAGGAACCUGACUUUGGGUACACAAGGCUGUGAAUAAGUUAUGAAUGGAAUGGGGCAGCCCCGGUGGCUCAGCAGUUUAGUGCCGCCUUUGGCCCAGGGCGUGAUCCUGCAGACCCAGGAUCAAGUCCCACAUCGGGCUCCCUGCAUGGAGCCUGCUUCUCCCUCUGCCUGUGUCUCUGCCUCUCUCUCUGUGUCUCUCAUGAAUAAAUAAAUACAAUCUUAAAACAAAAAGUUAUGAAUGGAAUGGCUGCUGGAAUGUGAUGGUCACUGAAAAUCAGUACAUGGGAUAUUUGAUUGGUAGUUUCAUCUCUUGUUAGUCAGUGACCACUAAUCUGACCAGCUUUAUGUGUAAUGACAAAACUGAAUGUGUAACACCUGUCAGAAUGGAGAAACUAAAAAACACAAGAAACAGCAAAUGUUGGUGAGAAUGUGGAGAGAAAAGGAACACUUGUGCACCACUGUUGGUGGGAAUGCAAAUUGGUUCAGCCACUGCAGAAAACAGUUUGGAGGCUCAAAAAGGUAUGUGUACCCCUUUGUUUUUUCAGCAUUAUUUGCAAUUACCAAGAUAUGAAAGCAACUCAGGAGUCCAUUGAUGGAUGGAUGAAGAAUAUGUGAUAUAUAUACAAUGGGAUAUUACUCAGCUAUAAGAAGAAGGAAAUCUUGCUAUUUGUGAG